AACUUAAAUGACAUUGUUGUGUGUUGUUUACUUUUGUGGUGACGUCUGCAUUCUGAAAUAAGCAAGAGCGCUGGCGGCUACAAGGGUUUGUAGUGGACGUGAAGCCGGCGUCCGGCGCUCCGCUGGCCCGCCACCAGUGGCAGGUGGCACGGGCCAUCUCUGAACAGGCCGGAGGUUACCCGUACCGGCCGCUGAGGAACCGGAAGCGCACCUCGGCGCCGGCGGCAGGCACCUCUCACCCGGCCCACCGAGUGGCCAUCCAGUACCGGUGCCGACGCUCCUGGCCCGUGGCUCCAGCCGCCAGACGGAGUUCACCCAGUGGGUCGCCAUGGUCAGCACGCAACAAAUGGAGUCACAGGCACUGCUACACGAAAACGGAGGCCCGGUCAGAGAACCAAGUGACCAUCCCGACUAUCAGUC